rfam:Rattus norvegicus chromosome 8, whole genome shotgun sequence.
GGGGAUUUAGCUCAGUGGUAGAGUGCUUGCUUAGCAAGCACAAGGCCCUGGGUUCGGUCCCCAGCUCUG